rnacentral:lncRNA from 1 species
GCAAAAUUAAAUUACAAUAAGAUUUAAACCAAACUAAAUUAAAUUACAAUAAUUUUUAAUUUGUUGCUGUUGUUGCCUCUCUGCCUCUCUGUUUCUGAUGCAGUGUUUGGCUCUAUUGUGUUGCUGCCUUUCUGUUUCAGAUGUAGUUGUCAUUGACCUUUGCUUUGUAACUGAAUUGAGAAACAUAAAAACAUAAUUUUUUUAAAUCAGUCUUGGUAUACAUUGUGCAGAACAAAGAGACAACUUUUAGAGUUUAAAAAAAGAAACUAAAAGACAAAUUAAAGCUCAGCAACAGAACUGAUCAAAACAGAUAAGUCAAAACCAUGAAUACAUCAGGGAUGCAGAAAAAACGCAGAUGAUGAGCAAGGCAAUCAAAACAUUAAACAGGAAAUAGAUAGAGAAGGACCAAGGCAGACAAAGAAAGCAACUGAACACAUAAAAAACUCUAUAAAUAUACCCUAUAAAAUUUCAAAAAGGGCAUCUGAGAUUAAUACCACUAAAAAACGCAUAGAAAGAAGAAGACAAGUAAGAAAUCACCAGAGGGGCAUCAAUAACAAACAGCAAAUAACAAUCGAACAGGUAUAUUUUUUAUAUACCAUAAAUUUGUUUCUUGAUCUUCACUUUUUUUUGUUAAAAAAAAAUGUAGAUAUUUUUUUAAAAAAAUCAAGCAUAACCGGGAAAACAUAAAAAGUUUCAAACCUGCGACAUGCUGCCGUCGUCGAAAACGAUGUCGUCGUGGUCGCUGUGGCCGCCGUCGUCGUGGGCGUUGUGGCCGCCGUCGUCGCUUGUUUCCUUGUUCGUCCUCAUUUUCCUCUUUUCCAGUCGAUGCAGCUGUCACAUUUCCCCCCCUUUACUUCCAAAACCGUAGGAACAUAGAAUGGGUAAGGAAGGAGGUAGUUUAGGGCUGAAAAGUAUUGCUCAUGAACGAUUUCUUAGCUUUGUCAUUGAACGAGUUUGCUGUUUAGGGUUUGCUAUGGAAAACGGCCGCCUCCCUUGACAUGAAACUAGGGUUUUUCCUAGUUUCUG